GGACUGCUCGGGGUUAGGCUGGGCAUCGGUCAGCGGGUGAAUAUGACACAAGAAACUGAUGUAAAAUGCUCUGCUUCUGUAAGAGCUUUGCUCUUUAAUUGCCUGACAACAUCCCCUGCCUUGCCUGAAUGGAUGGAGUUCCUGCCAUUUCAGCAAAAUAGUUAAGCUUACAGAUGACAUUUAGCAUGUGCUUAAGACCCAAGGGUUUCCACUGAAUUUCAUAUUAUGCUUAAAAUCAAAGAUUUAUGUGAAUAUGAAUGGAGUGCUGAAAUACAGGCUGAUUAAAGGUCAUGCUUCCUUUAAUUAGAUGCAGAUUGACUGAAAAUCAGCUAGCAGAGUGUA